GAUGAAGAACGCAGCGAAAUGCGAUAAGUAAUGUGAAUUGCAGAAUUCAGUGAAUCAUCGAAUCUUUGAACGCACAUUGCGCCCGCCAGUAUUCUGGCGGGCAUGCCUGUUCGAGCGUCAUUACAACCCUCAGGCCCCCGGGCCUGGCGUUGGGGAUCGGCGGAAGCCCCCUGCGGGCACAACGCCGUCCCCCAAAUACAGUGGCGGUCCCGCCGCAGCUUCCAUUGCGUAGUAGCUAACACCUCGCAACUGGAGAGCGGCGCGGCCACGCCGUUAAACCCCAACUUCUGAAUGUUGACCUCGGAUCAGGUAGGAAUACCCGCUGAACUUAAGCAUAUCAAUAAGCGGAGGA
rnacentral:misc_RNA from 1 species